UCUGUGCCAAACGUGCGGCAAAGGGUUCGCGAGUGCGCGCAACCUGGAGAUGCUGGUGUGGAAUAAUUAUUUUAUUCCUCUCUUAAUUUGUUUGUUUUGACUGUGGCUGUGUCAUCGGAGAACUUCAUUGUUUUUUUUUUUAUUAUUAUUAUUCAAUUAAUUUUCGGCUUACAAUUAAAUUCAUUUUUUAAGGGCUUUCUUUUUAAUUAUUCUUUUUUAAUUUCUGGCCAUUGAUUUAAGUUGAAUUCUCACGAAAACUCUGCUGCCAGUUCUCCCUUGUUUGAUUUUGCGUCAUUUUCUCUACGUUGGCAUUAUUUCAAUUUUAAUUAAUUGUGUAAAAUUGUAGAGUAUAGAAGAUGAGUGUCAUUAUUAAAAUAAAUUAAUGUGCCACAAAUAAUGAGGAAAAAAAAAAUUUUAAAUUUGAAAAUUGGCUCCAAAGUCUGCUAGUCCAGAGAUUGAGAGAGUUUUCAGUUUAAAAACUUGUUGAAAUUAUUAGCAGCAUUAAAUUAGGAAAUUUUCAAACUUUAUAACCUUUUCUUUAAGUGACAUUUUCCUAAAUUCUUGCAGAGGCAAAGCCAAAAUGGUGUUUAAUUUGCUGAAACUGCAGUGCUUGGAGCCCAAAUGAUAUAUUAUUCGACUUGGAUUUACUUUCUGCUGCCAAAAUUGUGCCAAGGGUUGUAGUUGUAGUUUUUCACGAACAAUUUGCCCGAUUUGCCUGAGGGAAUAAUUUUCAGCAAGGUCCUCAUUAUAGCACCAUUUGACGUUGAUCUUGAUCAUAAGAAUAACGUUACAAGGUCAUGCAAUGCUGAUGCCCUUAAAUUGACCAACAUAACAAAGUGAAAAAAAUUGGUCUUCCCGUCUUCUCUCGUGGAUUUGGGUCAAUACUUUCUAUCAUUAUCUCGUUUACAUAAUUCUGAAGGGUCGAUUGUAACAUCAAAAUGAACAUUAUUGAUACAUAUUUGGCGCUAAAUUGAGGAUUGUUGAAAAGGAUCGGUUGGUAGCACUGUUUCUUGGCCGUGCAGGAAGGAAUGGCCGUGCGCCGUGCUUGCCUCAAGAACUAAACAAACUCAUUUCGCACUUCAUUGUUUUACUGUUCAUCUGUUGUGAUGCGACAUCACGGAUCUGGAGGAGAAUUAUCUCGCGUCUUAAGAGCUUCCCAGUCAUUCCUGUAAUAUCCGGAACAAAAGGGGCGUGCCGUCGACAAGGGCACAUCUCAAAAACCGGCGCCGCCGUCCUCGCAAAAAGGCUCGUCCGGAUAAAGUUGAUCUCGGAAAUUUUGUUCACAAGCUGCGAAGAGUUCUUGGUCCACGCAUCAUUUUACUGCUGGAAAUCAUGGUAUUUUGGAAAAUACUCUAAUGGCCAAGAAUAUUGAGAGGAUGCCGCAGAGAUUUCCUGAGAUGCACUUUAAUUAAGCUGGACAGUGCCAAUUGGCCGCUCUGCUGGCAGAAGUGGUGAGGCACCAACAGCGAUUUUGAUGUAAACAUUUACAAGAAUAAUGAAACUGAGCAGCUCAGUAGAGUACGAGGCCUUUGGUUGCUGCUGCAGUUCCCUUUUGAACUUGUCCUUUUUCCACCACGAGUUGCUUGACCACCUGACCAAGGACAUAUAUUCAUCCGCUGACCUGGCCCUCAAUGUGCAGAACCGUACCUCGCCCUCUUGAGCUUUCGGAAAAACCCUGAGUAGGAACAAAAGGUUGUGCUGCAGGAUUUUGGCGUCCUCUGCAGCCCCUCUCUUGAUAGCCUAAUGCCCAACGAGACCCUGGAGGAGUCCAGCAACCUGUACUCUUUCUGGCUUUGAGCUCACUGUGCAGACCUGAGCCACCUUAUUCGGGAGUUUCUGGACAGCAGGCACCCGAGGAAUGGAUGACGCCCCACCAUUCCGUAGGGACUGGAAUCAAAGUUAAAAUUGUGCAGGACUUUGUUUGGCUGUGACGCUGUCUCAUUCACUUUCUGUACCACGGGUUGAGAGAGCAUCACAUGUUGAUGAGCAGAUGAAACAAAUCAACCACCAGCAGGUCCACCAGGUGCUUGUGGACCCUGCUGAGGCCAGCAUUGGAUCAUUCUUACUGCUGUCCAGUGCGCUCUACUUUCAGCCUCCUUCAGCAGUCGCGACGCACCUCUUCAGUUUCUCGAGGUGUCGCCAGUCGCCACAUAUGUGGUUUCAGAAGUCAAAUUGGUGCUUAAACAAUUAUAUUCAAAAUACCUUUGCCUCGUUUGUGCGCAGAGGUUCCGUCUGGACAAGCAGGCGCCGAGCGGCUACUGACUGUUCCUGCACGAGCGCGGCACCAACAAGCGGCGCCAUCCUCCUCUGGUCCGACCUGACUGACGCCAAGCGCCACGAGUACGACGCCAGGGCGGCCAAACUGGAACGCCUGCAAGACGUGAUCAGGGACGCAUCGGCCUGGGUCGGUCGCCGACCCAGGAAGGCUCCGAAGCCCCGACCGAAAAGACCCAAAAGCAAGAAGCCCGGAAGGCCUGCCAAGAAAAAGGUGGAAGCGGCGCCACCUGCAUCAGGGUCCGACAUCAACUGCCUCCGCCUUAGGAACAGCACCCUGCCCAAGAGACCCGUCACCAUCUGCAAGCCAGAGGAAUAGAGGCACCGCACGGAGCCCUGAUUUAGAACUGGAGGUCACUUGCCGCCGACCUUCGACGGCCUCUGACCCUGGUGAAAGCCACCCUUUGGCCGUCUCCGUGGCCAAAAAAGAGAGUGUGACCUGAGCUGCAGCAAGGAGGCGUUGCUGCCCUUCCGAGGCCCUGUGCCCGGCGACGUCCUCUUCAACCCUUUCUAGGCCACCUUCGGCUGCCUCAAGUGGAGGCAGUCCUUGGCCAUCACCCUCGAGAUGCAGAGCUACAAAACCGCCCACCAACUUGCACCCCUGGCAAUCGAGGACGCCGACACAGAAUUGAGUGAUUUGACUGAGGUAGAGGAGGAGUGCGGCAGCAGCAGCAGCAUUGAUUUGCCUCCGAUCAACAAAAUCGCUCCGUACCUAAGUCAGCAAUCCCAGGUGUCUUCACAACGUCUUUAAUCGUAUGCAGACGUUUUAUUUAAAAUUUUUUUGAUCAGACCAGAAAUUUUUUUAA